rnacentral:ncRNA from 1 species
GAUCUGGUUGAUUCUGCCAGUAGUCAUAUGCUUGUUUCAAGGACUUAGCCAUGCAUGCCUAAAAAUCACUGCAUUUGCAGGAAUCUGCGCAUGGCUCAUUACAUCAAACGUAAUCGGCCGCAAAAAUUUGGGGUUUU